UGGGAACAUGUGGUGAUAAAAUAAAGUAGC
rnacentral:piRNA from 1 species